rnacentral:lncRNA from 1 species
CCAGAUGUUUUAGGGUUACAUUUUCUUUAUAGAAUAAACUGCCAUAUUCCUUGCAGAUGUCAACAUGACUUGCAAGUCUUGGGUUAAAUACCAUCAGUUUCUCACUAUUACGUAAGGCAGAGAGACUUCAGACAAACCGAGUGAAACUUAAUGAUGGCUUUAAAUGGAGUCUGCACCACGCCCACCUCCUCCGGUAAAGUUCAGAGACAGUCGCCCCUCCUGAACGUUCGUUAAGAACGCUUUUCAUAUUAAGGCAGCUGCAGUGAGCACUGGAGACUGCGGGGCUCAUCACCCAUGCAGCACGGUGUCCUUGAAGAUCUCCCUCACAAACACUACGAACACGAACAAGCACCGCCAUGAUGAGGCACCCCGUCCCCGGUGCACUGGGAAUAAUUAAGGAAUAAGACGGCCAAUUCCAACGCUCCUCCACAUUUCCAAAACCUGCACUAUGAACCCCUGCUUUGAUGGGAACAGCGCAUCCCCCCCCCAGAGCCUGCUGGAUUACUGACCAACGUGAGCCACACUGCUCUCAUCCUGCUGCUACAGACACCAGCUGACUCUGCACGUAUCUUUUCAAAGGGUUGCAAGGGAGCUGGAGCCAAUCAAGGCAAGCAACAGGCAGCCGCAGACACAAACACACACCAGUUCUCCCAGAAGCCGGUCAACCUACCAGUAUGUCUUUGGACUAUGGAGCACCUGGAGGAAAGCACGCAAACACGCAAAGAGCGUGAAAAGGCUCACCAGAUAAUCACCAUGGUCAUGAUUUCUUGCAUAUUUCAGGUUAUGCAAUCAAGCACAAACAGAGUGGUUCUAAUGCCAAGAUGAGAUUCUAUCUUCAUCCUAUCAAAAGUGGAUGUUAACUUAUGAUCUUUGAUUUACUUUGCUUGCUACUGUAUAUUCCAGGCUAUUUUUAAAGACCAUAUGUUAGGAAGUGUUUCAGUCUCAACUACAGGGAAGCACUUUGAACAGAUGAGUCAUUUUUUCUAUUAUUUUCCUAAGGUGGGAAAGGAUUUUAAAACAAAG